CGAAUCAUCUAGCUCGCAUCGUUUACGGCUGGGACUACCCGGGUAUCUAAUCCGGUUCGCUCCCCCAGCUUUCACCCCUCACCGUCGAGCGCGUUCUGGCGGACCGCCUUCGCCACUGGUGGUCUUCCGCGGAUCAAAGGAUUUUACCCCUACACGCGGAGUACCGUCCGCCUCUCCCGCCUCCUAGUCUCGCAGUAUCCUCUGCAGGCCAGCCGUUGAGCGACUGGAUUUAACAGAGGACUUACGAAACCGGCUACGGGUGCUUUAGGCCCAAUAAUCGUCACGACCACUCGAG
rnacentral:rRNA from 1 species